rnacentral:rRNA from 1 species
CCUACGGGAGGCUGCAGUGGGGAAUAUUGGACAAUGGGGGGAACCCUGAUCCAGCCAUGCCGCGUGUGUGAAGAAGGCCCUCGGGUUGUAAAGCACUUUCAGUGAGGAAGAACGCCUGGUGGUUAAUACCCAUCAGGAAAGACAUCACUCACAGAAGAAGCACCGGCUAACCCCGUGCCAGCAGCCGCGGUAAUACGGAGGGUGCGAGCGUUAAUCGGAAUUACUGGGCGUAAAGCGCGCGUAGGUGGCUUGAUAAGCCGGUUGUGAAAGCCCCGGGCUCAACCUGGGAACGGCAUCCGGAACUGUCAAGCUAGAGUGCAGGAGAGGAAGGUAGAAUUCCCGGUGUAGCGGUGAAAUGCGUAGAGAUCGGGAGGAAUACCAGUGGCGAAGGCGGCCUUCUGGACUGACACUGACACUGAGGUGCGAAAGCGUGGGUAGCAAACAGGAUUAGAUACCCUGGUAGUUC